rnacentral:misc_RNA from 1 species
GUGAAUCAUCAAAUCUUUGAACGCAAAUUGCACUCUCUGGCAUUCCGGAGAGUAUGCCUGUUUGAGGGUCAGUAUAACUAUAAAUCGAUGUGUUGCUGUUUUGUAACCCAUCGGUGUUGGGUUAUCUUUGACCUUUUAAAAAGUUUAAGUGACCUAAAAUCGAUACCUUGUGCAUCUCAGACUUACAUAAGAAUAUUUAUUUAUCCGUCAGGAGUUGCCAACUUUUUAUUA